CUUCAGUGCUCUUUUGAAGCCCCCCAGCAGCUUCCCUGGCCCAUCUGGUUCAACACACAGAGACUGCGACACUCCGGCAGAAAACACUGAAGAUCUUUCAAGUGACUCUGACGAAUCGGAAGAUGGUUGUGGUAAGCAUUGUGGCCAUGAGA
rnacentral:lncRNA from 1 species